rnacentral:rRNA from 1 species
UACGUAGGGGGCAAGCGUUGUCCGGAUUCAUUGGGCGUAAAGAGCGUGUAGGCGGCCAGGUAGGUCGGUUGUGAAAACUGGAGGCUCAACCUUCAGAGGUCGACCGAAACCAUCUGGCUAGAGUCCGGGAGAGGAGAGUGGGAAUUCCUGGUGUAGCGGUGAAAUGACGCAGAUAUCAGGAAGAACACCCGUGGCGAAAGCGGCUCUCUGGAACGGUACUGACGCUGAGACGCGAAAGCGUGGGGGAGCGAACAGG